rnacentral:tRNA from 1 species
AGCUCCGAGGUGUAUUUACAUAUUAGAUUGCAAAUCUUAAGAAGCAGGCUAGUUCCCUGCCGGGGCUU